rnacentral:rRNA from 1 species
AGAUUGAACGCUGGCGGCAUGCUUUACACAUGCAAGUCGAACGGCAGCACGGGGGCAACCCUGGUGGCGAGUGGCGAACGGGUGAGUAAUGUAUCGGAACGUGCCCAGUCGUGGGGGAUAACUAUCCGAAAGGAUAGCUAAUACCGCAUACGACCUGAGGGUGAAAGCGGGGGACCUGCGAAGGCCUCGCGCGAUUGGAGCGGCCGAUAUCGGAUUAGCUAGUUGGUGGGUAAAGGCUCACCAAGGCGACGAUCCGUAGCGGGUCUGAGAGGACGACCCGCCACACUGGAACUGAGACACGGUCCAGACUCCUACGGGAGGCAGCAGUGGGAAUUUGGACAAUGGGCGCAAGCCUGAUCAGCCAUUCCGCGUGAGUGAAGAAGGCCUUGGGUUGUAAAGCUCUUUCAGCGGAACGAAACGGUCGAUCCGUAAUACGUCGGCUAAUGACGGUACUGCAGAAGAAGCACCGGCUAACUGCGUGCCAGCAGCCG